UUGUUCAGUGAUACGAAAGCCUUCUAUUCACUGUGCCAUCUAGUUUCCGUAGAUGAUCAGAGGGGAAAAGAAGGCGAGAGCGAAUUCACGAGCGUCCUCAUACUGAGUAGGGUACUUAACUAUCUAGAUGGCCCUAUUUGGUAACUGCGCGAGGGAGACAUAG
rnacentral:snoRNA from 18 species